rnacentral:rRNA from 1 species
GACGAACGCUGGCGGCGUGCUUAACACAUGCAAGUCGAACGGAAAGGCCCUGCUUUUGUGGGGUGCUCGAGUGGCGAACGGGUGAGUAACACGUGAGUAACCUGCCCUUGACUUUGGGAUAACUUCAGGAAACUGGGGCUAAUACCGGAUAGGAGCUCCUGCUGCAUGGUGGGGGUUGGAAAGUUUCGGCGGUUGGGGAUGGUCGGGCGGCUUAUCCGCUAGUUGGGGGGGUAGUGGCUUCCCAAGGCUUUGAAGGGUAGCCGGCCUGGGAGGGUGACCAGCCACAUUGGGACUGAGGUAGGGCCCAGACUCCAACGGGAGGCAGCAGGGGGGAAUAUUGCACAAUGGGCGGAAGCCUGAUGCAGCAACGCCGCGUGCGGGAUGACGUCCUUCGGGUUGUAAACCGCUGUCGCCUGUGACGAAGCGUGAGUGACGGUAAUGGGUAAAGAAGCACCGGCUAACUACGUG